rnacentral:lncRNA from 1 species
CCCAUGUGGCCCACAACUGUGCUGCAAGGGAGUGCUCCACAUUCAAGGAGUGCUGGAAUGUGACAAUGACAGCCUAGGCAGGGUGGGCUCCGCUCACACCAUGUGAGUGCUGAGUGGCACCCACUGAGGAAGAAAAUCUGCUGCCAGCACGAGAGCCAAGCUGCCUGCAGCCUCAGCCAAGCAGCCCAGGGUUUCUCAGGUGAAGCUGGGCCAGGAGACUAACAAUCCUCAGACAGAGCUCAGGGGCCUCUUCUCCACAUAAAACCACACUGGGGCUUAAGAUGUCAACAGAUGCAUCUGGGGAGGACACAACAUUCAGCCCAUAACACCUGGCACCCUGGGAACACCAAGCAAAGCUGUUCCAGGGUGUGAGCACGCUGUCCUCGCGGACAUUAGGGACUUUAGGAGGCCCAUAUAGACCCACGACGGCCCUUCUGGAAACGACGUGUGUAGGCUCUGGCUCAUGGACUCCCUUUAAACUUACCAAAUGAUAAUCCAGAAAAAGCCCUGGAUGGAGGAUAAGAAGCCCUGCUUCACAAUAUACUAGCUUUGGACACGGCAUAAAUCUUUGAACCUCAAUACCC